rnacentral:rRNA from 1 species
AUGGCUGACGAGGAUGCCGCGGCCGCGGCGAACCUCGUCGAGACUGAAGAAGAAGGUGGGCCAGCAAUGAUGAUGGCUUGCGUCGAGACCAUGCAGGAGGGCGGAGCGCCUCCGGCGACCAUGGUCCUGACAAGCAUCAAAGCCGUGCAGGAGGGCGCAGCACCUCCGGCGACCACGGUGCCGGCAACCGUUAAGUCCGUGCGGGAGGCACGGAGCUCUUCAAGUAAUCCCCUCUCGACAUUGGUAGCGCUCUCCUCGGCAACAACGUUCUCGGGAGGAUACGAUUGGGAGGAGAUGAAGACCCGGGUGUGGGGGAGCCACACCCCGGAAACCACGUCCCCUGCGACGCUGGUCAAGCCUGUGCAAGUUGGCACGGCAAAGGCGUACCCGACAUCCUCGGGACCCAAUAAGCCCGUGUCAGGAGGCACGGCAACGACGUAUAUGGUGGGCCACGUCCCAACCAUGAUGUUGGUGACCAGUGAGACCGUGCAAGAGGCACGACACUCUCAGGUCGGCCACACCCCGACAACCAGGUUCUCGGGGUUCUGCAAGCCCGUGUGGGCAACACGGCACUCUUCGACGGGCCUCAACAGCUGGGAGGCCAUGAAGAGACGGUCAUGGGGCGGCAAGGCCUCGACCGUGACUCUGGCGACCAUCGAGGCUGUGCAGGAGGCGCGGUGCUCUAUGGUCAGCCACGCAGCAACCCUGACGCGCUCGGGGUCCAUCGAGUCCGUGCGGAAGGCACGACUCACAACUGUCGGAGGAGACCCGACAAGCAAGUCUGAUGGGAAGAACACCAAGGACUUCGCUACCCUGAGAGGAGCCACUCCGGGCAGUGCGGCGUCCGGCACAACGACCCCAGGAAGGGAGUUCCUGGGUAGUGCGAUGUCCGACAAGUCAUCCCCAGGAAGGGAGUUCCCGGGCAGUGCGGCGUCCGGCACGACGACCCCGGGAAGGGAGUUCCCGGGCAGUGUGACAUCAGGAACUACGACCCCAGGAACACUGACGCCCACGAGCGAAGUGGUUCCCGGGCAGUUCAUGUCUUCGUCUACAGCGCGGUCGGACCGAUUUGACACCAACAACGUUGGCGCUCCACACAGGUUUCGGCGCCUAGGAGGACCUUCUCGGCGAGCCUGCGGGACGGUCGUAGCACCCGAGAUCGAGAAGCAGGAGAAGGUCGGGAUCAUCGACAACAAGCUCCUUCGACAAGGUUGA